rnacentral:rRNA from 1 species
GACGAACGCUGGCGGCAUGCCUAAUACAUGCAAGUCGAGCGAACAGAUGAAGUGCUUGCACUUCUGACGUUAGCGGCGAACGGGUGAGUAACACGUAAGGAAUCUACCUAUAAGCGGGGGAUAACAUUCGGAAACGGGUGCUAAUACCGCAUAAUAUCUUCUUCCGCACGGAAGAAGAUUGAAAGACGGCUCUGCUGUCACUUAUAGAUGACCUUGCGGUGCAUUAGUUAGUUGGUGGGGUAACGGCCUACCAAGACGAUGAUGCAUAGCCGACCUGAGAGGGUGAUCGGCCACAUUGGGACUGAGACACGGCCCAAACUCCUACGGGAGUCAGCAGUAGGGAAUCUUCCGCAAUGGGCGAAAGCCUGACGGAGCAAUGCCGCGUGAGUGAAGAAGGCCUUCGGGUCGUAAAACUCUGUUAUAAGAGAAGAACAAAUUGUAGAGUAACUGCUACAGUCUUGACGGUAUCUUAUCAGAAAGCCACGGCUAACUACGUGCCAGCCGCCGCCGUAA